GAGCACGUAGGUGGGUUUGUAAGUCAGAUGUGAAAGCCUUCUGUUCAACGGAAGAAUUGCAUCUGAAACUACAAGUCUUGAGUGUAGGAGGGGAGAAUGGAACUUCUGGUGGAGCGGUGAAAUGCGUAGAUAUCAGAAGGAACGCCGGCGGCGAAAGCGAUUCUCUGGCCUAUUACUGACACUCAGUGUGCGAAAGCUAGGGGAGCAAACGGGAUUAGAUACCCCGGUAGUCCUAGCCGUAAACGAUAGGCACUAAGUAGAGGGAAUUACCGAUGUUCUCUCUGCCGUAGCUACGCAUUAAGUGCCCCGCCUGGGGAGUACGGCCGCAAGGCUAAAACUCAAAAGAAUUGACGGGGGCUCGCACAAGCGGUGGAGCAUGUGGCUUAAUUCGAUGCAACGCGAAAAACCUUACCGGGGCUUGACAUGGUAGAAGUAGGAACCCGAAAGGGUAACGAACGGUAUCCAGUCCGUAGCUAUCACAGGUGUUGCAUGGCUGUCGUCAGCUCGUGUCGUGAGACGUUGGGUUAAGUCCCCUAACGAGCGAAACCCUUGUUUUUAGUUACCAGCGGGUUGUGCCGGGUACUCUAGAAAGACUGCCGUCGUCAAGACGGAGGAAGGUGGGGAUGACGUCAAGUCAUCAUGGCCCUUAUGCCCCGGGCUGCACACGUGCUACAAUGGUCGGUACAAACGGAAGCGAAGCCGAGAGGUGAAGCGAAUCC
rnacentral:rRNA from 1 species